UUAACAUUAGAAAACAAGAGCCUUCAAAGCCCUAAAUAGAGGAAAAUCCCACCCCUAGUUUCUG
rnacentral:tRNA from 1 species